AGAGAGAGAGAGACAGAGACAGAGAAAGAGAGAGAAUGACAGCAUUAUGUAAAAUGAUGUUUAAUGAUCCCUGAAGGAAAACUGUUUCUGUUCUUGUGUGCAACACGGGGUCAGCGACAGAGCAGCGGCCCUUAAUCUUGUAGUUACUCAGUAUUUAAUUUCUAACUCGAGGACACAAGAGUGGUCUCCCUACCCACUGUGUUACCCUGUGCUAAAAGAAGCAUGGAUGACGUGUUGAAUGACGUUGGAAAAAGAUUAUAAAAACAGUGAGGGUUACAUGGGCUGAAACGGACAAAGUGCUCUGCAGUGAGGUCAUGCACCUCUCCCACCACAGGAGGCUCCUUCUUCCCAGAUACCGACACAAGCUCAAGUGCAAUCAGCUGGCCCUCACCUGAGAAACACAUUAUAGACAACUCACCUCCACUACAGUGGCUUCUCCUGGCUGCAGCACAAAGAGAGACGGGCUCACUGCAAAGGGUGGCUGCUCAGAAAAGUAAGUUCUUGCCACAGACUAUAUGAAGAAAGAAAA